ACUGUUGCCAAUGAAAAAUCUUUUGCCACUUGUAAGUCAUUUAAAACUGAUGCAAUAGUUAAAUCAUAUAAUUUGCA